AUGUAUCUCAUUUUGUGAUUUAUUUUGACCAAAUGAAAGAAUAUGACCUGCCAACUGCCUGUAAAAACUACAAUUUGGGUAUCAUUACAAAGAGGCAGCAGAAGAUUAUAACGAAAAAGACAAGGAAAAAACUCACUCUCAGGCAUAAUCACAACAAAUAUGGAUGCUGAUCACAGAUAGAUUCAUCAAAGAGCAAAUUACUGAAAUGCUAGACACAGCAAGCCAGGCAAGGAUCACCAAGGAAGCAGCAAUUUUUUUCAAAAGAGCAGUGACCAUAACGAAUGAAGAAGUGUAAGUCGAAGCAUAAAGCAGAGAAAUCUUUUUGAGGAAAGUUGAUUUAUUUUAGAUUAUCA
rnacentral:misc_RNA from 1 species